rnacentral:rRNA from 1 species
AGUCACUGACAUUAGAUACCCGCGUAGUCCUAGCCGUAAACGAUACUCGCUAGGUGUCGGCCACGGUGCGACCGUUGUCGGUGCCGUAGGGAAGCCGUGAAGCGAGCCACCUGGGAAGUACGGCCGCAAGGCUGAAACUUAAAGGAAUUGGCGGGGGAGCACCGCAACGGGAGGAGCGUGCGGUUCAAUUGGAUUCAACGCCGGACAACUCACCAGGAGCGACGGUUACAUGAAGGCCAGGCUGAUGACCUUGCCUGAUUUUCCG